UACGGGGGGGGCAAGCGUUGUUCGGAAUUACUGGGCGUAAAGGGUUCGUAGGUGGCUCGCUAAGUCAGACGUGAAAUCCCUCAGCUUAACUGGGGAACUGCGUCUGAGACUGGCGAGCUCGAGUGCAGGAGAGGAACGCGGAAUUCCAGGUGUAGCGGUGAAAUGCGCAGAUAUCGGGAGGAACACCGGUGGCGAAGGCGGUUCUCUGGGCCUGUACUGACGCUGAGGAGCGAAAGCGUGGGGAGCGAACAGG
rnacentral:rRNA from 1 species